UUGGGCCAUGAGCCCUUGCUCUUUCGGUGGGUGAGAUGAUCAAUGAAAGGAGGGAAGAGAGGAUGCCUUUAGAGGUUCUCCACUAUCUGAUCAGGUGUCUCAACUUUGCUGAGGAUGAGAAACUCCAGGAGAACUUACUCAAAUACAGAUCCUAGAACCUGCUUCCAUAUUUGAUUCAAAAUUAACUCAAAGGCAGAGAAUCUAUAAAAGCCAAUUGAAAAAGUGCUGAUGACCAAGAGGACAUAUCAGAACCCAUUCAAUGUUCCUUUCUUCCAUACUUCAAUUUCUUAGCAGUUGUGCAUUUAAGAUUGCCACCAGAACUUCUGAUCAGCAACUGCAUCAAGAUUGAAUUGAUUUAAUUCCAAUAAAGGUAAAGAAGGCUGACAUUUUGAGAUCCUUUUCAUCCUCAUCUAAGGAAAUGUACUUCCUUCAAGGCUUUUAAAGUGUCUAAAACAUCUUGUUGAUCUCUAGUACUGUCUUUGGAGAUUCUGGACAUAGUUGAGCUCUUGCUUUUCAAUGAACGAGCCAAACCUCAUUACUAUAAUCUGAGUAAGUCUUGUUUUAUGUGUGAUCUAAUUCAAUUAUUGAAUGCUACAAUUUUUUCCAUCACAUCAUGGGAAACUGGGGUGGUCCAGAAAAAUCAAAGUGAAUUAAGAGUGAAACUGCAGAUGACUUUUUAACAUGCUACUAG